UGAUGCCACACGCCGCGUGAUUGAGACGGCCUUCGGGUUGUAAACCUCUUUUAGUAGGGAAGAAGCGAAAGUGACGGUACCUGCAGAAAAAGCACCGGCUAACUACGUGCCAGCAGCCGCGGUAAUACGUAGGGUGCAAGCGUUGUCCGGAAUUAUUGGGCGUAAAGAGCUCGUACGCGGCUUGUCGCGUCUGCUGUGAAAACCCGAGGCUCAACCUCGGGCCUGCAGUGGGUACCGGCAGGCUACAGUGCGGUAGGGGAGAUUGGAAUUCCUGGUGUAGCGGUGGAAUGCGCAGAUAUCAGGAGGAACACCGAUGGCGAAGGCAGAUCUCUGGGCCGUAACUGACGCUGAUGAGCCAAAGCUUGGGGAGCGAACAGGAUUAGAUACCCUGGUAGUCCAUGCCAUAAACGUUGGGAACUAGAUGUAGGGUCCAUUCCACGGAUUCUGUGUCGUAGCUAACGCAUUAAGUUCCCCGCCUGGGGAGUACGGCCGCAAGGCUAAAACU
rnacentral:rRNA from 1 species